GGCGAUUAGCUCAGUUGGGAGAGCACCUGCCUUGCACGCAGGAGGUCUGCGGUUCGAUCCCGCAUAGCUCCACCA
rnacentral:tRNA from 2 species